rnacentral:rRNA from 1 species
UGGGGAAUCUUGCACAAUGGGGGCAACCCUGAUGCAGCGACGCCGCGUGAGCGAUGAAGCACUUCGGGGCGUAAAGCUCUUUCGACCGGAACGAUAAUGACGGUACCGGGAGAAGAAGCUGCGGCUAACUACGUGCCAGCAGCCGCGGUAAUACGUAGGCAGCAAGCGUUGUUCGGAGUUACUGGGCGUAAAGAGUGCGUAGGCGGUUUUCUAAGUUCGGUGUGAAAUCUCCCGGCUCAACUGGGAGGCGUCGGAUGAUACGGCGGGGCUCGAGAAAGGUAGGGGGCCGUGGAAUGCCCGGUGUAGUGGUGGAAUGCGUAGAGAUCGGGAGGAACACCCGUGGCGAAGGCGACGGCCU